rnacentral:rRNA from 1 species
CAGUCGCCGCGGUAAUACGAAGGGGGCUAGCGUUGCUCGGAAUGACUGGGCGUAAAGGGCGCGUAGGCGGUUUUGACAGUCAGAUGUGAAAUUCCUGGGCUUAACCUGGGGGCUGCAUUUGAGACGUCAAGAUUAGAGUGUGAGAGAGGGUUGUGGAAUUCCCAGUGUAGAGGUGAAAUUCGUAGAUAUUCGGAAGAACACCAGUGGCGAAGGCGGCUUACUGGCUCAUACUGGACGCUGAGGUGCGAAAGCGUGGGGAGCAAACCGGAUUAGAUACCCCGGUAGUCCCUGUCUCUUAUAC